GCCACUGUGGUGUAGUGGUUUCAAUGUUGGACUAGGACUCUAGAGACCAGGGUUCAAAUCCCCUCAACUACA